AAAACUUUUCAGCUAGAGUAUGAUAGAGGAAAGCAGAAUUUCUAGUGUAGAGGUGAAAUUNGUAGAUAUUAGAAAGAAUACCAAUUGCGAAGGCAGCUUUCUGGAUCAUUACUGACACUGAGGAACGAAAGCAUGGGUAGCGAAGAGGAUUAGAUACCCUCGUAGUCCAUGCCGUAAACGAUGUGUGUUAGACGUUGGAAAUCUAUUUUCAGUGUCGCAGCGAAAGCGAUAAACACACCGCCUGGGGAGUACGACCGCAAGGUUAAAACUCAAAUGAAUUGACGGGGACCCGCACAAGUAGUGGAGCAUGUGGUUUAAUUCGAAGAUACGCGCAGAACCUUACCAACACUUGACAUGUUCGUCGCGACUUUAAGAGAUUAAAGUUUUCGGUUCGGCCGGACGAAACACAGGUGCUGCAUGGCUGUCGUCAGCUCGUGUCGUGAGAUGUUGGGUUAAGUCCCGCAACGAGCGCAACCCUCACUUUUAGUUGCCAUCAUUUAGUUGGGCACUCUGAAAGAACUGCCAGUGAUAAGCUGGAGGAAGGUGGGGAUGACGUCAAGUCCUCAUGGCCCUUACGUGUUGGGCUACACACGUGCUACAAUGGUAUCUACAACAGGAAGCAAAACCGCGAGGUUUAGCAAAUCCUUAAAAGAUACCUCAGUUCGGAUUGCACUCUGCAACUCGAGUGCAUGAAGCUGGAAUUACUAGUAAUCGUGGAUCAGCGUGCCACGGUGAAUGCGUUCCCGGGUCUUGUACACACCGCCCGUCACACCAUGGGAGUUGGUUCUACCUUAAGGCAAGGUUUAAAACCCUUGACCACGGUAUAGUCAGCGACUGGGGUGAAGUCGUAACAAGGUAACC
rnacentral:rRNA from 1 species